AUACGGAGGGUGCAAGCGUUAAUCGGAAUUACUGGGCGUAAAGCGCGCGUAGGCGGUUUAGUCAGUCAGAUGUGAAAGCCCCGGGCUCAACCUGGGAACUGCAUUUGAUACUGCUGAACUAGAGUAUGGUAGAGGGAAGUGGAAUUCCGGGUGUAGCGGUGAAAUGCGUAGAUAUCCGGAGGAACACCAGUGGCGAAGGCGACUUCCCGGACCAAUACUGACGCUGAGGUGCGAAAGCGUGGGUAGCAAACAGGAUUAGAAACCCUAGUAGUCC
rnacentral:rRNA from 1 species